rnacentral:snRNA from 1 species
AGAAUAAAGGAUCAGAUUAUUGU